CGAAAUGUCGUCAGACCUUCGAACAGACUCCAGGUAAAGUACAGGGGCGUGUAUCUCAGCAGCGCAUUGGUCAAGCUGGGUGAUUGACACGUCUAUAGAACCGUCAGAGCCAGUAGAAUCGACGGACAGCAUCACGGACACCAUUCGCUAUCUGUGAGGGGGCGAACCCACUGUGACGCGUUUUUCCCGACGCCAUUUGACAUGCGACUUCCGCAUGUGUAGUCGGAGUAGGAGGAGCAGGCGUUGAUUAACAUCUUGAAAUGAGGAGCGGUCUUUGUGCUAAGCCAACGGAAUCGGAUUUAUGGAUCAAGACACAACUUUUCCCGCAAAUACUUCGACGGCCGCACUACAAAUCUUCUGAAAGGGGCCACGGUCGCACAGGAAGCAUCUGGUCAAAACAAAACCGUGAGUUGGUGGCAUAAACUGAUCAAAUGUUACGAGGACUUUCAUAACAUGAUGUAUGUCUUGUCAUAUACGACAGGUUCGAGCUCGGUAAGGGAAAUAUCAUGGUGCGGUUUUUGAAACAGAAAAACGCAGACUUCAUCAUCAUGGAAUGCUUCACUGUACUGCAUCAACUUCCAAUGCAG
rnacentral:lncRNA from 1 species